rnacentral:rRNA from 1 species
AGAGUUUGAUCCUGGCUCAGGAUGAACGCUGGCGGCGUGCCUAAUACAUGCAAGUCGAGCGAACGGACGAGAAGCUUGCUUCUCUGAUGUUAGCGGCGGACGGGGGAGUAACACGUGGAUAACCUACCUAUAAGACUGGGAUAACUUCGGGAAACCGGAGCUAAUACCGGAUAAUAUUUUGAACCGCAUGGUUCAAAAGUGAAAGACGGUCUUGCUGUCACUUAUAGAUGGAUCCGCGCUGCAUUAGCUAGUUGGUAAGGUAACGGCUUACCAAGGCAACGAUGCAUAGCCGACCUGAGAGGGUGAUCGGCCACACUGGAACUGAGACACGGUCCAGACUCCUACGGGAGGCAGCAGUAGGGAAUCUUCCGCAAUGGGCGAAAGCCUGACGGAGCAACGCCGCGUGAGUGAUGAAGGUCUUCGGAUCGUAAAACUCUGUUAUUAGGGAAGAACAUAUGUGUAAGUAACUGUGCACAUCUUGACGGUACCUAAUCAGAAAGCCACGGCUAACUACGUGCCAGCAGCCGCGGUAAUACGUAGGUGGCAAGCGUUAUCCGGAAUUAUUGGGCGUAAAGCGCGCGUAGGCGGUUUUUUAAGUCUGAUGUGAAAGCCCACGGCUCAACCGUGGAGGGUCAUUGGAAACUGGAAAACUUGAGUGCAGAAGAGGAAAGUGGAAUUCCAUGUGUAGCGGUGAAAUGCGCAGAGAUAUGGAGGAACACCAGUGGCGAAGGCGACUUUCUGGUCUGUAACUGACGCUGAUGUGCGAAAGCGUGGGGAUCAAACAGGAUUAGAUACCCUGGUAGUCCACGCCGUAAACGAUGAGUGCUAAGUGUUAGGGGGUUUCCGCCCCUUAGUGCUGCAGCUAACGCAUUAAGCACUCCGCCUGGGGAGUACGACCGCAAGGUUGAAACUCAAAGGAAUUGACGGGGACCCGCACAAGCGGUGGAGCAUGUGGUUUAAUUCGAAGCAACGCGAAGAACCUUACCAAAUCUUGACAUCCUUUGACAACUCUAGAGAUAGAGCCUUCCUCUUCGGGGGACAAAGUGACAGGUGGUGCAUGGUUGUCGUCAGCUCGUGUCGUGAGAUGUUGGGUUAAGUCCCGCAACGAGCGCAACCCUUAAGCUUAGUUGCCAUCAUUAAGUUGGGCACUCUAAGUUGACUGCCGGUGACAAACCGGAGGAAGGUGGGGAUGACGUCAAAUCAUCAUGCCCCUUAUGAUUUGGGCUACACACGUGCUACAAUGGACAAUACAAAGGGCAGCGAAACCGCGAGGUCAAGCAAAUCCCAUAAAGUUGUUCUCAGUUCGGAUUGUAGUCUGCAACUCGACUACAUGAAGCUGGAAUCGCUAGUAAUCGUAGAUCAGCAUGCUACGGUGAAUACGUUCCCGGGUCUUGUACACACCGCCCGUCACACCACGAGAGUUUGUAACACCCGAAGCCGGUGGAGUAACCUUUUAGGAGCUAGCCGUCGAAGGUGGGACAAAUGAUUGGGGUGAAGUCGUAACAAGGUAGCCGUAUCGGAAGGGGCGGCUGGGUCACCU